AGCGUACACGGUGGAUGCCUAGGCAGUCAGAGGCGAUGAAGGGCGUGCUAAUCUGCGAAAAGCGUCGGUAAGGUGAUAUGAACCGUUACAACCGGCGAUACCCGAAUGGGGAAACCCAGUGUGUUUCGACACACUAUCAUGUCAUGAAUACAUAGUGGCAUGAGGCGAACCGGGGGAACUGAAACAUCUAAGUACCCCGAGGAAAAGAAAUCAACCGAGAUUCCCCCAGUAGCGGCGAGCGAACGGGGAGGAGCCCAGAACCUGAAUCGGCUUGUGUGUUAGUGGAAGCGUCUGGAAAGUCGCGCAGCAAAGGGUGAUAGCCCCGUACACUAAAAUGCACAGGUCGUGAGUUCGAUGAGUAGGGCGGGACACGUGACAUCCUGUCUGAAUAUGGGGGGACCAUCCUCCAAGGCUAAAUACUCCUGACUGACCGAUAGUGAACCAGUACCGUGAGGGAAAGGCGAAAAGAACCCCGGCGAGGGGAGUGAAAUAGAACCUGAAACCGUGUACGUACAAGCAGUGGGAGCACCUUCGUGGUGUGACUGCGUACCUUUUGUAUAAUGGGUCAGCGACUUAUAUUUUGUAGCAAGGUUAACCGUAUAGGGGAGCCGUAGGGAAACCGAGUCUUAACUGGGCGAAUAGUUGCAAGGUAUAGACCCGAAACCCGGUGAUCUAGCCAUGGGCAGGUUGAAGGUUGGGUAACACUAACUGGAGGACCGAACCGACUAAUGUUGAAAAAUUAGCGGAUGACUUGUGGCUGGGGGUGAAAGGCCAAUCAAACCGGGAGAUAGCUGGUUCUCCCCGAAAGCUAUUUAGGUAGCGCCUCGUGAACUCAUCUUCGGGGGUAGAGCACUGUUUCGGCUAGGGGGCCAUCCCGGCUUACCAAACCGAUGCAAACUCCGAAUACCGAAGAAUGUUAUCACGGGAGACACACGGCGGGUGCUAACGUCCGUCGUGAAGAGGGAAACAACCCAGACCGCCAGCUAAGGUCCCAAAGUCAUGGUUAAGUGGGAAACGAUGUGGGAAGGCAUAGACAGCCAGGAUGUUGGCUUAGAAGCAGCCAUCAUUUAAAGAAAGCGUAAUAGCUCACUGGUCGAGUCGGCCUGCGCGGAAGAUGUAACGGGGCUAAACCAUGCACCGAAGCUGCGGCAGCGACGCUUAGGCGUUGUUGGGUAGGGGAGCGUUCUGUAAGCCGUUGAAGGUGGCCUGUGAGGGUUGCUGGAGGUAUCAGAAGUGCGAAUGCUGACAUAAGUAACGAUAAAGCGGGUGAAAAGCCCGCUCGCCGGAAGACCAAGGGUUCCUGUCCAACGUUAAUCGGGGCAGGGUGAGUCGACCCCUAAGGCGAGGCUGAAAAGCGUAGUCGAUGGGAAACAGGUUAAUAUUCCUGUACUUGGUGUUACUGCGAAGGGGGGACGGAGAAGGCUAGGCUAGCCGGGCGACGGUUGUCCCGGUUUAAGCGUGUAGGGGGUGUGACCUGGUAAAUCCGGUUGCAUAUCAACCCUGAGGCGUGAUGACGAUGCACUACGGUGCAGAAGUAGUUGAUGCCCUGCUUCCAGGAAAAGCCUCUAAGCUCCAGGUAACAUUAAAUCGUACCCCAAACCGACACAGGUGGUCAGGUAGAGAAUACCAAGGCGCUUGAGAGAACUCGGGUGAAGGAACUAGGCAAAAUGGUGCCGUAACUUCGGGAGAAGGCACGCUGGCAUGUAGGUGAAGUCCCUUGCGGAUGGAGCUGAAGCCAGUCGAAGAUACCAGCUGGCUGCAACUGUUUAAUAAAAACACAGCACUGUGCAAACACGAAAGUGGACGUAUACGGUGUGACGCCUGCCCGGUGCUGGAAGGUUAAUUGAUGGGGUCAGCCGCAAGGCGAAGCUCUUGAUCGAAGCCCCAGUAAACGGCGGCCGUAACUAUAACGGUCCUAAGGUAGCGAAAUUCCUUGUCGGGUAAGUUCCGACCUGCACGAAUGGCGUAAUGAUGGCCAGGCUGUCUCCACCCGAGACUCAGUGAAAUUGAACUCGCUGUGAAGAUGCAGUGUACCCGCGGCAAGACGGAAAGACCCCGUGAACCUUUACUAUAGCUUGACACUGAACAUUGAGCCUUGAUGUGUAGGAUAGGUGGGAGGCUUUGAAGCGUGGACGCCAGUCUGCGUGGAGCCAUCCUUGAAAUACCACCCUUUAAUGUUUGAUGUUCUAACUCGGCCCCAUAAUCUGGGGUGAGGACAGUGUCUGGUGGGUAGUUUGACUGGGGCGGUCUCCUCCCAAAGAGUAACGGAGGAGCACGAAGGUUAGCUAAUCACGGUCGGACAUCGUGAGGUUAGUGCAAAGGCAUAAGCUAGCUUGACUGCGAGAGUGACGGCUCGAGCAGGUACGAAAGUAGGUCUUAGUGAUCCGGUGGUUCUGAAUGGAAGGGCCAUCGCUCAACGGAUAAAAGGUACUCCGGGGAUAACAGGCUGAUACCGCCCAAGAGUUCAUAUCGACGGCGGUGUUUGGCACCUCGAUGUCGGCUCAUCACAUCCUGGGGCUGAAGUAGGUCCCAAGGGUAUGGCUGUUCGCCAUUUAAAGUGGUACGCGAGCUGGGUUUAGAACGUCGUGAGACAGUUCGGUCCCUAUCUGCCGUGGGCGUUGGAAGAUUGAGAGGGGUUGCUCCUAGUACGAGAGGACCGGAGUGAACGCACCACUGGUGUUCGGGUUGUCAUGCCAAUGGCAUUGCCCGGUAGCUAAGUGCGGAAAAGAUAAGCGCUGAAAGCAUCUAAGCGCGAAACUUGCCUCAAGAUGAGUCUUCCCUGGGCCUUUAAGGCCCCUGAAGGAACGUUUAAGACUAAGACGUUGA
rnacentral:rRNA from 1 species